ensembl:lncRNA
GGCGGCGGUCAUCACGCCCCUCGCACAUUCCAGGACCGCCUGCUGCCGCCGCCGGGGCACUGCCUACCUGCCGGCUUAAUGAGCCCAUCGUGACCUAGCCGGCUAUGCCGAGGAAAGAGGCGGCCGGGCUUGGGGCGAGAUCUCAGACAGCGCCCCCGCGCGCCGGAUCCGCGGCGAAUGCCCCCGCGCCCGGUAGGCAGGCGGCCCUUGCGCCCUGAGCCCCGGCUGUGCUGCCGCGCGCCCGCCCCGCCUUAUCACAGGCCCCAGGAUCCCAGCCAGGGCGGCCUAGCGGGGCUCCUCGUUUUCCCCAGGUUUCUCCUACCCAAGAACCUGAAUCGUCUGGUUUAGCUACUCUGAGACCGAAAAGGUGUGGCCACAUGUUUUUCCAUCCUGGCUUUGAGAAGACCUGUCCCAGGGAGACCCCAUCAUGAAGCUGAUGGAAGUAACAGCCCAAUUAUGUGUGGAGCAAACGUUUCCCCCAGAAGGGCAUCCCUGGUGGCUCAGACCAUAGAGAAUCUGACCGCAAUGCAGGGGACCUGGGUUCCAUCUUGGUGGGGAAGAUCCCCUGGAGGAGGAAAUGGCAACCCAUUCCAGUAUUCUUCCCUGGAGAAUGCCAUGGCCAGAGGAGCCUGGCAGGCUACAGUCCAUUGGGGCUGCAAAAAGUUGGUCACAACUGAGCGACUAACACUUUCACUUUCUUGGGGAAAGAGCAGGCUCCCUUUCCAGUGGAGGUUAGAGAGGUUAGCGGACAUAGGAUUCCUUAGAGUUGCUGAGCUGGGAUCAAACUUGGGUUUUAUUCCAAUACCCAGGCCCUUUCCCUCUGUCAAAUGGCCCUGGUUUUACAGCCGAGGAAAAGGCUUAACAAGUUAAUUUGUUGCUCAGCUGCCAGCAAAUAGUGGAAGUGCCCCACUGAAACUAGGGUGGUUUCCUUUUCUGGCCAUAAGGGGGAAAAACUCAGGAGUACUGCUUCCAGGAAACCAGAGCCAGGCUCUCUGGGGCUGAAAAGUUAGUUGGUCACUUAUACUAUCUCCUACGUCCAACUGCCUGACACCAGUGUCUUGUUUUGCCCCUUGCUUUUUCCCUGCCUUUGUCUGCUGUGUGUAAAAUGGGAAUAAUGGUCUCUGUUAAAGUGAGCUAAAAUAUAUAUAACACAUAGAACAGUACCUGGCACAUGAGGAG